rnacentral:rRNA from 1 species
UGGGGAAUAUUGGACAAUGGGCGCAAGCCUGAUCCAGCCAUGCCGCGUGAGUGAUGAAGGCCUUAGGGUUGUAAAGCUCUUUUACCAGGGAAGAUAAUGACGGUACCUGGAGAAUAAGCCCCGGCUAACUUCGUGCCAGCAGCCGCGGUAAUACGAAGGGGGCUAGCGUUGCUCGGAAUUACUGGGCGUAAAGCGUCCGUAGGGGGUUGGUCAAGGCUGCUGUUAAAGCGUGCGGCUUAACCCCACAUC